AGUUGGCCAUAAAGGCAAACGCCAGGGAUGCAGGUCGAGGAUGGCCGCUGCCCAGCUCAAUUACCGCAAAAUGUAACAAAUGGUGUGCCCUCUGCCGCCCGACUCUGGGCAAGACUCUCCACAACGUUACCCCGGCCUUGUCUUGUGCUCCAGGCUCCAUAACAGAGGCCCCCCAUGAUGUUGUGGCCCAGAAGUGUAAAAAGCACUUUCCCAGUAGGAGCAGUCGUGGAUAACACACAUGUAAACAUGUAUGUAGAUCUGCGUGUGAUGGACCGUGUGCUGGAGUGGAAACAUCUGCUGGGAAUUCUGCCUGCUCUGUACCUGACAUUCCUGCUGCUACAGUCAGCGUUUUACUUCCAGGUCCAAGCUGGAUAACGUCUGUCAGACAAUCGUCACUCCCAAAAUCAGCGUCUGUUCUGGAGCUCUGAAACGUCUUUUGGGAUUGGCUGAAAGUGCGGUUGGAUGGUGACCUCUGUACAUCCCAGCAUCCUGCAAGUCCCUGACCCGUUCAAGAAAGAAGCGGACCUGCCCAAACCAGGCCUGUGCAUUCACAAUGUUGACGUGAGAAUUUUCGUGAUCUAAGUGUCUAACUGCACCAUUGACUAAGUCGACUUUCAUCAUGUGGACGCUGCUGAAAUGUUGACAUAAUAGAAUGUGGACGAACCAUCCCUGGCGGUCUAGUGGUGUCUUACCUAGGGCGGGAUGUAUCAUUAUUUGCAAUAGAGACCUGUCAUUUUCAGAUUUUUCGGCAGUUGCGUGAGAAAGGUUUCAACGGGAUGACUAAUGAGUGGCAUUCCAGUGUGUGUUCUCCACCUAUCCCUAACCCUCCCCAUAGUGCCUAACCCUAACUCCCUACACCGCAACCUAACCUGCUCACAUCCCCCAUCACAGCCUAACCCUAACCUCCUUCAAGUGCCUAACCCUAACUCCCCCCACCGCAACCUUACCCUAACCUGCCCGCACCCCCCCACAGCCUAACUCUAACUCCUUCUAGUGCCUAACCCUAAC